AGUGAACGCUGGCGGUAGGCCUAACACAUGCAAGUCGAACGGCAGCACAGUAAGUGCUUGCUCUUACGGGUGGCGAGUGGCGGACGGGUGAGGAAUACAUCGGAAUCUACUUUUUCGUGGGGGUUCACGUAGCUAAACUUACUCUCAUACCGCAUACGCCCUACCGGUGAAAGCAGUGGAUCUUCUGACCUUGCGCGAUUGAAUGAGCCGAUGUCGGAUUAGCUAGUUGGCGGGGUAAAGGCCCACCAAGGCGACGAUCCGUAGCUGGUCUGAGUGGAUGGUCAGCCACAUUGGAACUUAAACACGGUCCAGACUCCUACGGUACGCAGCAGUCGGGAAUAUUAGACAAUAGUCGCAAACCUUAUCCAGCCAUACCACGUGUGUUAAAAAAACCUUCGGUUUGUAAAGCCCUUUUUUUGGUAAAGAAAAGCAUCAGCUUAAUACCCCGCUUUUCUGACGGUACCCAAAGAAUAAGCACCGGCUAACUACGUG
rnacentral:rRNA from 1 species